UUAAGCGACUAAGCGUACACGGUGGAUGCCCUGGCAGUCAGAGGCGAUGAAGGACGUGCUAAUCUGCGAUAAGCGUCGGUGAGGUGAUAUGAACCGUUAUAACCGGCGAUUUCCGAAUGGGGAAACCCAGUGUGUUUCGACACACUAUCAUUAACUGAAUCCAUAGGUUAAUGAGGCGAACCGGGGGAACUGAAACAUCUAAGUACCCCGAGGAAAAGAAAUCAACCGAGAUUCCCCCAGUAGCGGCGAGCGAACGGGGAGGAGCCCAGAGCCUGAAUCAGUGUGUGUGUUAGUGGAAGCGUCUGGAAAGGCGCGCGAUACAGGGUGACAGCCCCGUACACAAAAAUGCACAUAUUGUGAGCUCGAUGAGUAGGGCGGGACACGUGGUAUCCUGUCUGAAUAUGGGGGGACCAUCCUCCAAGGCUAAAUACUCCUGACUGACCGAUAGUGAACCAGUACCGUGAGGGAAAGGCGAAAAGAACCCCGGCGAGGGGAGUGAAAAAGAACCUGAAACCGUGUACGUACAAGCAGUGGGAGCCUCUUAAUGGGGUGACUGCGUACCUUUUGUAUAAUGGGUCAGCGACUUAUAUUCUGUAGCAAGGUUAACCGAAUAGGGGAGCCGAAGGGAAACCGAGUCUUAACUGGGCGUUAAGUUGCAGGGUAUAGACCCGAAACCCGGUGAUCUAGCCAUGGGCAGGUUGAAGGUUGGGUAACACUAACUGGAGGACCGAACCGACUAAUGUUGAAAAAUUAGCGGAUGACUUGUGGCUGGGGGUGAAAGGCCAAUCAAACCGGGAGAUAGCUGGUUCUCCCCGAAAGCUAUUUAGGUAGCGCCUCGUGAAUUCAUCUCCGGGGGUAGAGCACUGUUUCGGCAAGGGGGUCAUCCCGACUUACCAACCCGAUGCAAACUGCGAAUACCGGAGAAUGUUAUCACGGGAGACACACGGCGGGUGCUAACGUCCGUCGUGAAGAGGGAAACAACCCAGACCGCCAGCUAAGGUCCCAAAGUCAUGGUUAAGUGGGAAACGAUGUGGGAAGGCCCAGACAGCCAGGAUGUUGGCUUAGAAGCAGCCAUCAUUUAAAGAAAGCGUAAUAGCUCACUGGUCGAGUCGGCCUGCGCGGAAGAUGUAACGGGGCUAAACCAUGCACCGAAGCUGCGGCAGCGACACUAUGUGUUGUUGGGUAGGGGAGCGUUCUGUAAGCCUGUGAAGGUGGCCUGUGAGGGUUGCUGGAGGUAUCAGAAGUGCGAAUGCUGACAUAAGUAACGAUAAAGCGGGUGAAAAGCCCGCUCGCCGGAAGACCAAGGGUUCCUGUCCAACGUUAAUCGGGGCAGGGUGAGUCGACCCCUAAGGCGAGGCCGAAAGGCGUAGUCGAUGGGAAACAGGUUAAUAUUCCUGUACUUGGUGUUACUGCGAAGGGGGGACGGAGAAGGCUAUGUUGGCCGGGCGACGGUUGUCCCGGUUUAAGCGUGUAGGCUGGUUUUCCAGGCAAAUCCGGAAAAUCAAGGCUGAGGCGUGAUGACGAGGCACUACGGUGCUGAAGUGACAAAUGCCCUGCUUCCAGGAAAAGCCUCUAAGCAUCAGGUAACAUCAAAUCGUACCCCAAACCGACACAGGUGGUCAGGUAGAGAAUACCAAGGCGCUUGAGAGAACUCGGGUGAAGGAACUAGGCAAAAUGGUGCCGUAACUUCGGGAGAAGGCACGCUGAUAUGUAGGUGAAGCGACUUGCUCGUGGAGCUGAAAUCAGUCGAAGAUACCAGCUGGCUGCAACUGUUUAUUAAAAACACAGCACUGUGCAAACACGAAAGUGGACGUAUACGGUGUGACGCCUGCCCGGUGCCGGAAGGUUAAUUGAUGGGGUUAGCGGUAACGCGAAGCUCUUGAUCGAAGCCCCGGUAAACGGCGGCCGUAACUAUAACGGUCCUAAGGUAGCGAAAUUCCUUGUCGGGUAAGUUCCGACCUGCACGAAUGGCGUAAUGAUGGCCAGGCUGUCUCCACCCGAGACUCAGUGAAAUUGAACUCGCUGUGAAGAUGCAGUGUACCCGCGGCAAGACGGAAAGACCCCGUGAACCUUUACUAUAGCUUGACACUGAACAUUGAGCCUUGAUGUGUAGGAUAGGUGGGAGGCUUUGAAGUGUGGACGCCAGUCUGCAUGGAGCCGACCUUGAAAUACCACCCUUUAAUGUUUGAUGUUCUAACGUUGGCCCGUAAUCCGGGUUGCGGACAGUGUCUGGUGGGUAGUUUGACUGGGGCGGUCUCCUCCUAAAGAGUAACGGAGGAGCACGAAGGUUGGCUAAUCCUGGUCGGACAUCAGGAGGUUAGUGCAAUGGCAUAAGCCAGCUUGACUGCGAGCGUGACGGCGCGAGCAGGUGCGAAAGCAGGUCAUAGUGAUCCGGUGGUUCUGAAUGGAAGGGCCAUCGCUCAACGGAUAAAAGGUACUCCGGGGAUAACAGGCUGAUACCGCCCAAGAGUUCAUAUCGACGGCGGUGUUUGGCACCUCGAUGUCGGCUCAUCACAUCCUGGGGCUGAAGUAGGUCCCAAGGGUAUGGCUGUUCGCCAUUUAAAGUGGUACGCGAGCUGGGUUUAGAACGUCGUGAGACAGUUCGGUCCCUAUCUGCCGUGGGCGCUGGAGAACUGAGGGGGGCUGCUCCUAGUACGAGAGGACCGGAGUGGACGCAUCACUGGUGUUCGGGUUGUCAUGCCAAUGGCACUGCCCGGUAGCUAAAUGCGGAAGAGAUAAGUGCUGAAAGCAUCUAAGCACGAAACUUGCCCCGAGAUGAGUUCUCCCUGACUCCUUGAGAGUCCUGAAGGAACGUUGAAGACGACGACGUUGAUAGGCCGGGUGUGUAAGCGCAGCGAUGCGUUGAGCUAACCGGUACUAAUGAACCGUGAGGCUUAACCUU
rnacentral:rRNA from 2 species